UCAAAUUAUUAAGCGCACAUGGCGGAUGCCUUGGCAUCAGAAGCCGAUGAAGGACGUAGUAGGCUGCGAUAAGCCUCGGGGAGCUGCCAAAGAGCUUUGAUCCGGGGAUUUCUGAAUGGGGCAACCCAGCAUAGUGAGAGCUAUGUUACCCUACGGGGAGCUAACCUGGUGAAGUGAAACAUCUCAGUAGCCAGAGGAAGAGAAAUCAAACGAGAUUCCGUCAGUAGCGGCGAGCGAAAGCGGAUUAGGACAAACCCAAUGCUUGCAUUGGGGGUUGUAGGACCAUAACGUGAGACUAAAGAAGAUAGAUGAAAUACUUGGAAAAGUGUAGCAUAGAAGGUGAAACUCCUGUAAUUUAAAUUUUCAAUAGCUCUAUUGGUAUCCUGAGUAGGUCGGAACACGUGAUAUUUUGACUGAAACUGGGGGGACCACCCUCCAAUCCUAAAUACUACUUACAGAUCGAUAGUGAACAAGUACCGUGAGGGAAAGGUGAAAAGUACUGCAGCGAGCAGAGUGAAAUAGAACCUGAAACCAUUAGCUUACAAUCAUUCAGAGCCCUAUGAUUUAUCAGGGUGAUGGACUGCCUUUUGCAUAAUGAGCCUGCGAGUUGUGGUGUCUGGCAAGGUUAAGCCAAGUGCGAAGCCGUAGCGAAAGCGAGUCUUAAUAGGGCGAAAUAGUCAGAUGCUGCAGACCCGAAACGAAGUGAUCUAUCCAUGAGCAGGUUGAAGCUGGUGUAAGAGCCAGUGGAGGACCGAACCCAUUGACGUUGAAAAGUCUCGGGAUGACUUGUGGAUAGGGGUGAAAGGCCAAUCAAACCUGGACAUAGCUGGUUCUCCGCGAAAUCUAUUUAGGUAGAGCGUCCGACGAAUACCCUGGGGGGUAGAGCACUGGAUGGAUGCGGGCUGCGCGAGCGGUACCAAUUCUAACCAAACUCCGAAUACCCAGGAGUACUAUCGGGCAGACACACGGCGGGUGCUAACGUCCGUCGUGAAAAGGGAAACAACCCUAACCAUCAUCUAAGGCCCCCAAGUAACGGCUAAGUGGGAAACGAUGUGGGAUUGCUUUGACAACCAGGAGGUUGGCUUAGAAGCAGCCAUCCUUUAAAGAAAGCGUAACAGCUCACUGGUCUAGUGAUUCUGCGCGGAAAAUAUAACGGGGCUAAGAUGUGCACCGAAGCUUUAGAUUCGAAUUUAUUCGAGUGGUAGGAGAGCGUUCUAUUCAGCGUUGAAGGUAUACCGGUAAGGAGUGCUGGAGCGGAUAGAAGUGAGCAUGCAGGCAUGAGUAGCGAUAAUUAAGGUGAGAAUCCUUAACGCCGAAAACCCAAGGUUUCCUACGCGAUGCUCGUCAUCGUAGGGUUAGUCGGGUCCUAAGUCGAGACUGAAAAGUGUAGACGAUGGCAAAUUGGUUAAUAUUCCAAUACCAACAUAUAAGCGCGAUGUGGGGACGCAUAGAGUUAAUCGAGCUCACUGAUGGAAUAGUGGGUCGAAGGACGUAGGUUGUUAAGUAGGCAAAUCCGCUUAACGUUAGACCGAGAUCUUACAGGCUCUUGACACUCUUCGGAGGAGAUGGAGAAUCGAUGAUACUGUCGUGCCAAGAAAAGCCACUAAGUUUAUUAUAUGUUGCCCGUACCGUAAACCGACACAGGUGGGUGGGAUGAGUAUUCUAAGGCGCGUGGAAGAACCCUGGUUAAGGAACUCUGCAAACUAGCACCGUAUCUUCGGUAUAAGGUGUGCCUACUUUGGUAUAUGGACUUGCUCCAAAAAGCUAGAGAGGUUGCAACAAAGAGUCCCUCCCGACUGUUUACCAAAAACACAGCACUUUGCUAACACGUAAGUGGAUGUAUAAGGUGUGACGCCUGCCCGGUGCUCGAAGGUUAACUGAUGAUGUCAGCGCAAGCGAAGCAUUUGAUUGAAGCCCGAGUAAACGGCGGCCGUAACUAUAACGGUCCUAAGGUAGCGAAAUUCCUUGUCAGUUAAAUACUGACCUGCAUGAAUGGCGUAACGAGAUGGGAGCUGUCUCAAAGAGGGAUCCAAGAUCGGA
rnacentral:rRNA from 1 species